rnacentral:lncRNA from 1 species
UGGUCGAUUCGCCUCGCUUCUCGGUAAAUAAAAGCCGCGCACCAUCGAGAUCAAGCAGAGAGGGAGAAGGGUACUACCGUGGGGGUGCUUCACCUCUACUUCGACCGGACCCUUGGGGAGCUCUGGUGCUUCCCCAGGUUUGUGGGAGGAUUGCCAAAGAUGCGCCGCCCGGGAUCCAUCGCAAGCGCCACCAGAAUUCCUCGUCGUCGUUUGUGGUCCACCGCGUACCGCAUUGCUCCACAUCCAAGGCGCGACUCAGCGCAAACAUAGGUAUAAACGCUUCCCCCAUGCUCGCCCUGUCCUUCUGCUCACGUAGCGCGCCUCGGCGUGGGAGUUGGGGGAUUGUUAUUGGUUGGGGUCGCUUGUUGGCAUGGGCUCCACCAUGAACGGGGGUGGGCGCCGCCGUGCGCAGCGUCGGGGGUUGAGGAUGGGUUCUGGGCCGUCAACUAAGUGAUGGGUGGUCCAGAUUAGGAAUCGAGUCACCAAAUCAAAUGCUUCAUUCGUGCCGUUUGUGUCGACUGGAACGAUUGUGAUCGGAUCUCGGUCAUUUUAACUUGUGGUCUUUGAUAACCGAUCUGAUGGCCAUCAUCGAAUACCGGUUUUAUAAUUGAUCCAUCUAAUCUCGACCGCGGAACUCCGAUCCUACGACUCCAAUUACACAGUACCCCUUCGGCCACGACACUUUGCAUAAGAGUCCCUACACUUUAUUAUAAUCAACCCGUCAUCCCUUCCUUCGCUGAGGGUACAAGAAAUAGGUCCACAAAUUUAUGAAAUGGACCCCCAAAGACUUAAGAAAUAAUACCCACAGUCCAAAGGGUAAUUAAACUAAGUAAAUUGAUAUGGAAAAUGAGUUUUAAUUAUAAAAUUAAUCCUAGACACAUAGAUAAUUCAUAUUUUGAUCGUUUUAACUCCGAUUUGACCAUUCGAAUUAUGUUAGGUUCAUAAUAAUAUUACCUAUACACUAUAACGCUAACUUUUAUCAUGUCACUUACUUUUUAAAUUGGGUACUUAUUUUAUGUAUAGUAGAUUAAUCUAACCAAUCCAAGCAGUAUGUUAAUAAUUAUAAUCAGAGUAAAAGGUAGUCUUUAACUAAGGUAUGGCUUAUAUUAAAGAUAAUAUUUAAUGUAUACCUCUCAUGAUUUAUAAAACCAAUCUAGGACCUAGUACUAAUUGUUUAAUCACAUAAAUCUUCCAAAAAUCAUAACUUUCUAACCAUGACUCCGAUUCUAGCAUGGUUAUUAAAACGUCGCUUAAACGACGUUUAAGCGUCGUUUAAACGACGUUUAAGCGUCGUUUAAACGAUAAAACGUGAUUUGAAACUAAAACGUUAGAACGUUCUGUCAAAUUAGUGUAGAACGUCCGUUUUCGGUGUUUAAACAUCGUUGAAACGUCUGAAACGUCAUUAACGUCGUUCUAGACGUGUAAUCAACGUUACAAGUUACUGGGCCGGCCUUCUUGUUCCUGGGCUUUCGCUUCCAAACUCCAAAGCCGCCCAGGCCCAGCCGUGAGCCAUCGUCCUCCCUAGCCGUCGUCGCCGCGUCGCACUCCUCAGCCGUCAGCCAUCCAGUUGCUCGCCGCUGCAAACCUGGAGAUCUCCCGGCCGGCCGCCCAGUUGCGCCAGCCGUCAGCCAGCUGCUCCAGGUACGCCGCCGGCCCCCUCCUCCCUCUUCCCUCCGCCAGUCUGCCCAGUGCCCACAGGCGAGUGCGCCGCCGACCGCCGUGCCACAGCUCACACACACAGGCGAGUCCGCCGCCGCCGCUGCAUCCAGUCCAUCCACUUGCUGCCCACUUGCUGUCGCUGCUCCAGUGCUCCACUGCUCUCGCCGCCCCUCACAUCUGCUCCACUGCUUGCUGCCGCUGCUCCAGUGCUCUAGCUGCUCCACUGCCAAGAUCCAUCUGCUGCCCUCGCUGCCCCUCACAGUGAAUCACCAGCAGCCAUAUUUGGAUACUUAAUAUUGAUGAUGAAGGCUUGGAUGCUCAUGGUCUUAAUAUUGAUAAGUUUGAUGAUGGUUACUAAUCAUGCAUAAAAGUUGUAACUUGUGUGGUUGAACUUGAGUUGUUUCUUUUUAUGCUAAUGUUAUUUGGUUUGUGAACUCAACUUAUGUAUGAAACUAUGAACUUAUUCUAUAUUUGAAAUUCUAUGUCAAGUUUGAAAAGACGUUUCAACGUUCGUUUAAACGUUUAAACGUUGAAAAGUUGGUUCAUAACGUUUUAACGUUUUACCGCUUUAAUAACCAUGGAUUCUAGUGGUUCUUGAGCCUACACUCUCGUAACGGCGCGUAGAAUAUUAUUACGUAGUCGUUUCCUCCUGUUUGGUGUACUGUUAUGUUUAUGUACUCCUUGCCUAUUUGUAUGUAUUGCUACGAGUAGCAGUGAGGACACGAGAAACCUGAAGACCAAUUUGGAGAAGUACCUAUAAUCUCAAGUCCAAGGCAAGUUGUGCCCUUGAUCACUUUUCUUUACCUAAUAAUGCUUCUGUUAAUCACUGUGACAUGCUCAGUUUAAUUUGAUGGGACCUAAUAGGUUUCCCUAGUAUUGUUUAUCCUACACCUUGCAAACAAAUGAAAUAUUGGGUAGGUUUGCUAUUGCUCUACCUAGUUUUGGGAAAUUAAUGAUAUAUAUGAUCAUGUUCCAUUAAUAUUGUUGGUUUAUUUAUUGUUCAUGAUAAGAUUAUUGUAUUAAUUGGAACAUGGAGAACUACCUGGGAAAACAGUGCUACCACAACGGUGGAAUGGGACGCCCUUGGCCAAGUAAUUAGGAAAGCUAGGGAGAGAUUACCUUACCCGAAAGGGGCAAGCAGGGAGGCGUCGUUGUAGAGUAUAGGGAGGUCCUCAGAUCGAACUACUGUGAUGGCUUUCUGACGAGGGAUUCCUAUGCUUCCUUCUUCCUAAAUCUGUAGUGAGUUUUCUCAAACUAGUGGAACUUUGGAAAGGCCUCGUAGUGCUACCCUGCCUCGUCUCCACGGUAGAGGUGUAUGGGAUUCAUGACCCUGUGGCAAAUGGGUAACCCUACUUGUGGGUAAUGAUGUGCAACCUCUGUAGAGUGUAAAACUGGUAUAUCAGCCGUGCUCACGGUCAUGAGCGUCUUGGAUACUCACAUGAUUAAUUUAUGGAAUUAAACUUAAUCUGUCAUUUGCAUUGCAUUGUGUGUUUUAUUAUUAAUUGUGAUCUCUUAAUAAUUUGGGUUGAUAUCUAUUUAUACUUAGUAACUACUAAUAAAAUUUUGACCAACUUUAAAAGCAAUGCUCAGCUUUAACCAUCUCCUUUGGUAAGCCUUACACUUCACAUGAGCCCCACUAUAAGUGAACUCAUGCACAUUAUUCCCCACAACUUGUUUAGCGAUGAACGUAUGUGAGCUCACCCUUGUUGUACUCACAUCCCCCCAGAUCAAGGACAUGGACCACAAGAUAAGGAGCAUGGUGGAUGCGGCGAUGAGUUCAUGAGAGAUCUAGGUCAUCGUAUCCCAGUCAAAUAUGGUUGCUGGAUCGUUGUCUUCUUAUGGAGUAAUUAUUUAACUAUUUUGUACAGAACUCCAUUAUAUAUGUCAAUGGAGCAUCAGUAAAUGGACUCAACUGAAAUUGAUUGAUUAUGUGAGUUAAAUGUAAGCUACUGAUGUCGCACUGACAUGGGGCAUCGCAGCAAGUAUCAUGUGGAAGAGCAUGGAACUAUAAAACUGGUAUCCAUUAGAUUAUUCCAAAUCAAAAUCAUAAAUAGAGGUAUAUGACAUGCCACUCUUAAGGGCCAUUUUA